AUGGCAUGCGGAGGCAGAGGACAUGGCGGCGGCCGGACCUCCCUGCCGGCGGAGCUUAUCCAGGAAGUAUCAGACCGUCUGCAGGCUGACGUAGACCAAAUCCACAUCCACCAGGUAUGCUCCCACUGGCGCGCGUCCACUGCCCCGCUCGUAGCCUGCCGUCUGUGGAUCGUCGCCGCCCACGACCGCCACCAUAACCCUAUUAGUGCCGUUAACCAUGUAUGCGACCACUCCUUCUGGCUGCUCGACGGUGGAAAAAGGAGGCACUCCCGGGCCCUAGCCCCGGCUGGGCUCCCCUACUGCCGCGGCACGCCCCGUGGCUGGCGCGCCCUAACGGACGACUUGCGAACCCCCACCAGGCUAAUCCUCUGGGAGCCCCUCUCCCAAGCUGAGAUUCCUCUGCCGCCUUUCACAACCAUCGCCCAAUUAUUCCUCUCCGGCGCCCCGCUCGCGUCGCUGGCGGCCUGGAUGUCGAUCACGAGCCAGAAAAUCCCGGGCGCACAGAUUGGGCACACGCUCUUCUUUUGGCGCCCUGGAGACGCAGCCUGGACGAUGCAGCCCGAGCACCCUAUAGGCCGGAUCGACGGCGCAGCCUUCCACCAAGGCAGGUUCUACAUGUCCAACAUGAUGAGCAUGAGGCUCGACAUCUUUGACCUCCAGCAGCAUCCUCCCAUGCGUCUGCGGUGUAUCUCCCUCUAUGCUCCUCUGCGAACGUGGUAUCCAAGCCGCCGCUUACCCGGGGAUCUGGUGCCACACGUGGUGGCAUGCAACAACCAGCUGUUGCUCGUUAUGGUGUAUCGUGGACAAGGACACCCCGGGCCCGUGAUCCUUGUAGAGGUGCACCAUCCGGAUUGGGCCGCUGAGCGCCUCGACUUCCGGGGGGGAGAAGAGGACUUCUCUACCAUUAGGAGAAAUUGUGUCUACUUUGUGGAGCAUGAUACAAGAAAGCAUGAGCAAUGGGUUAUUGUGUUUGAUUUGGGGUCGAACGCUUUGGAACAAAUUCCUCACCCGCAAGAGCACACGGAAGGCGGCAGCAAAUACAGUGGCUGGAUUCAGGCUUCCGAUAUUAGAAAUGGAACCCUUUCCUUCCAAUCAAUUGAGCCUCAACGAUGUUUGUCAUUCAGUUCUAAUGGUACUAGUUGCAAUAGCCCGUUAGAGUAUCCCGGUGCAGAUCUCCUGGUGCAUCCCUUGAACAACAAAACAUGCAAAAGGCUGGGAGAGGCUUGUCUUGAAGCAUCUGUGCAAUUCAGCCAGAGGACCAUAGAUGAUGAUUAG
rnacentral:rRNA from 1 species